UAUUCGCGGAAAAUAUUUUGA
ensembl:piRNA 21ur-1010 ncRNA